rnacentral:rRNA from 1 species
GGUGAACGCUGGCGGCGUGCCUAAGACAUGCAAGUCGAGCGGGGCAGGUUUAUACUUGUUCAGCGGCGGAGGGGUGAGUAACGGGGGGGCGCCUUACCCGGAAGAGGCGGACAACCUGGGAAAACCAAGGCUAAUCCGCCAUGUGGUCCUGUCCUCUGGGGCAGGAUUAAAGGGGCGACCCGCUUCCGGAUGGGCCGGCGUCCCAUCAGCUAGUUGGUGGGGUAAAGGCCUACCAAGGCGACGACGGGUAGCCGGGCUGAGGGGAUGGCCGGCCACAGGGGCACUGUGACACGGGGCCCACGCCUACGGGAGGCAGCAGGUAGGAAUCUUCCGCAAUGGACGGAAGUCUGGCGGAGCGACGCCGCUUGGAGGAGGAAGCCCUGCGGGGUGUAAGCUCCUGAACUGGGGACGAAAGCCCCGUGGAGGGGGAUGACGGUACCCAGGUAAUAGCGCCGGCCAACUCCGUG